GCGAACGGCCACGUGAUGGGGAUGGUUUGCAACGCCUGCGCGGGCAGGUGAGUGUGGCGGGCAAAGAACUGGCACCCUUCACAGGUGCGGACUACCUAGGUAGCGUCAGCGACCGCGGUCGGCCAGUAAAAACCCUGUCGGAAGGCGUUGCCGACGAGGGUCCUUGGCGCGGCGUGGUGUCCACAGGCUCCGGCAUGGAUAUCCUGAAUCAGCGCCUUUCCCUGUUCGAUCGGGAUGCAGCGCUGGAGGAUCCCAGUGUGGCUUUUCUUGUAGAGCUCCUGGUCGAUGAUGGCGAAGGACUUGGCGCGGCGCGCGAUCCUACGGGCCUCCGUUUUGUCCGCCGGGAGCGCGUCGCGGACGAGGUAGUCGAGGUAUGGGGCUCUCCAGUCGAUCGGGGGGUCGGCCCCCACCGCGGGGUCUGCCGUGAUUUUCAUGACCACGGGGUCGGACGG
rnacentral:lncRNA from 1 species